AUUUUUGUCCUCUGUGGAGCACAUAGGUUUUUUGUUCAUAACUCUGAAACCAUACAUGCCACUGUGUUAAAUCCUGUUGGUCCUUAGAGAGGACAUCCUGGGCUCUCCAAUGAUAUGACAUGUGUGGGGGUGGGGCUUUUCUAAAAUUUUCUUCCUGAUUCUUCAAAAUGGCUGUCAUCCCUGUGAGCACAUUUUAUCGAAAGCAGAAAGUAUAAGGAAGACAGCCAAGCUUUGGCACAACCUAUGAAGAAAACUCUCCAAUACCAUGACUUCAAACUGCUCUUAGGUGAGGAACUGAUUGCCCAGGGGCAGUCAAGCCAACACAAUCCAAUUUAAUCUGAUGCGUCAAAUGAUGAGGAGUACGUUCCAUCACAGAAGAGAAGGAGGCCCCAGCCAGAUAAGGAAGUGAGAAAGUAUGGAGCUGUCCAUUUGCCACAGAUGAUGGACAAUCCUAAUACUUCCAGGUGCAGAGCAGAAGGGUGCACUGAAAAAACCUACAUAAAGUGCAUCAAAUGCAACAUGUACCUCUGCAUAUCAAAGAAGAAGAACUGCUUUAUGGACUACCACAAACCAAAACAGAACUAACACACCUGAUUAAACUACACUAAUCAGCUUGCUUUUGAUAAGUUGAAUGAGGUGCCUGGAAAUCUGAACCACUGGCUUAAAUGAUGUAGCCAUUUGAAAUUUACAGCACUAAAGAUUGUCAGAGUUCAGAGGUAAAUGUAUGCCUCAAAAUGUGUUCAUAUUUGCCACAAGAGAGUCCCGAUGUCCUCUCCAAAGGACAUACUCUAAAAAAUAAAUAAAAACAUGUUUUGAAAUUU